rnacentral:rRNA from 1 species
GAUGAACGCUGGCGGCAUGCCUAAGACAUGCAAGUCGUACGAAGCGGCCCAAUGAAGAUUGCGUGCUUGCACAAAAUUGGAUUUGGAUUUCCGCUUAGUGGCAAACGGGUGAGUAACACGUGGGUGUACCUACCUCUAAGUCGGGGAUAACAAUUGGAAACGAUUGGUAAUACCGGAUGUGCUCUACGGAGUAAAGGAGCCUUUAAAGCUCCGCUUAGAGAUGGGCCUGCGGCGCAUUAGCUAGUUGGUGAGAUAAUGGCCCACCAAGGCGACGAUGCGUAGCCGAACUGAGAGGUUGAUCGGCCACAUUGGGACUGAGACACGGCCCAGACUCCUACGGGAGACAGCAGUUAGGAAUAUUCGUCAAUGGGGGAAACCCUGAACGAGCAAUGCCGCGUGAGUGAUGACGGUCCUCUGGAUUGUAAAACUCUGUUGUUUAGGAAAAAUUGUAAUUGGUAGGAAUGACCAAUGCUUGAUGGUACUAUUCAAG